AUGAGGACCCCCACUCAGCUCCUGGGGUUGGUGCUUCUCUGGCUUACAGGUGCCAGAUUUGACAUCCAAAUGACCCAGUCUCCAACCUCUCUAUCUGCAUCUCUGGGAGAAAGUGUCACCAUCACAUGCCUGGCAAGUCAGGACAUUGGCUGGUGGUUAUCAUGGUAUCAGCAGAAAUCAGGAAAACCUCCUAAGCUCCUAAUCUAUAGUGGAAAUGAUUUGGCAAGUGGGGUCCCAACGAGGUUCAGUGGCAGUAGAUCUGGUACACAGUUUUCUCUCAAGAUCAGUAGUCUACAGUCUGAAGAUGUGGCAGAUUAUUUCUGUCUUCAGAGUAACAGUAACCCUCCCCACAGUGAUUCAAGCCAUGACAUAAACCACCAGGGAAGCAGAA